CCCUGUUUUGCGUAGUACGAGAAAAACCUAUAUCGCUAAUUAACAGGGAUAUCGUAUUUAGCCAUGGUAAAAAAGACACAGGUCUCUGGAUAAUUUAUCAGAAGACUCCUUGGCGCUCUUUAACGUUACCGUUUUUCACUACAACUGCGCCUUUGUGAAAAGAGUGAGUAAAAAUCCCAGGACAGAGACGAAACAAUCAAACAGUCAAUGCCAGCAUAAACCAAUGAUCCGACGAGUGCUAUAUAAAAGACAUUCAGUCUACUCCGUCGCCUGAUGAAGACUAGCAGGUUGAAACUGCCUCAAUCGUGAGACAUAUGAAUAAAUACCAUUUAUAUAGAGUGAAGUCUUUUCGACUUUCAAAUUUAGUUAUCAGUUUUUCUAAGUUUAGUUUAGUCGAGCGAGGGUAGAAACAGCUUCGCUACCUUCGAAUCUUCAAGACUAAUUAUCCAUCCCACCAACAAAAAAGAGGAACUAAAAACAAUAUUGAAAAGCGAGACGUAAAAAUGCGGAAAUCGAACUUACCGAUAAAUGACAAAAAAUAACAUUUUCUAGCGGCUGCCAGAGGCGGCUUUCAGUUCGACCCCGAUGAGCUGCGCCAAUGCUGUGUUUGCAGUGGUAAAUAGCGAUAACAAGUUUUUUACCCGACUGUUUUUGUGAUAACAAUUUUCCACGAAUGUAAAGAUAACAUUCUUUGGUUCAAAGAGAAUCAGAUGUUUUGAGUUUUUCAACGGGGUAUGUUAGCAUCUGAUACCGAGAAAGGUUCUCAUCUCAGAAAGACGGAAUCGGAUAAGAUAAGUCAAAAACAGUAACACCAAGAUAAAAAGAAGAAAUAACAAAACCACAAGAUAAGAUUUUAGAUUAUACAAUUACUAAGUAGUUUUUCGUCUCGAAAAUAAAUGAAAACCAAAAAUAUCUGAAUAUAUUUUGUUACCAAGAACAAUUUGAUUCUCCGAUUUCAAUUUCACUGCAAUAAAACACGAGAAUGAAUGCGUAAUACGCGGGUUUGUCUUAAUAAGAAAAAGAGAGAGAUAUAUAAAAGAACAAGACAGUAUAGUAUAACAAUUGCGCAACCAUUUACUGUUAGCUUAAAAUCUUAAAAAACAGUGAUGUGUGCAAAAAAAUCACGAUAGCAAUUCUAAAACGUUGAGCAAAGGAAUACGCAUGUCUGAACGACGACGUGUGAAAAACCACUAGUGAGUAUUUUAUAGAAUGAAAUUAUUCAUAAAGCUCGGUGUUAUCGAAGUAAAAUAAAAGUUAGUUAGCACUACAUCAAGAUUAAAAUGACGAGCUGACCUCGCAAAGCCACACUUUGCGCACUUACUUGCGGGUGACGCGCGCGCUCGUCCUCAACACACGAAACGGUGCGCGCGUCACGUAUCAAAAGCGCGCAAAAAUAAUAUUAAGGAAUAUCCAGCACGAUAAAUGAUGAAGUAGAGAUUCCUGAGACUUCUUCCUUGGCUCUGAGUGACGUUUUCUCGACAUGAGGUCUACUGACCAAGCUGACAUUGAAGCCAUCUUGUCUAAACGUUAGAUGUACACGGAUCAUUAAACAUCCAAGCUCCCUUUUCCUAACCCCGCUCAAUGACGCACGUUCUACAUAAAUCAGCAUGUAUUUUCCGUCAUCCCAGGUAUAGCACCAAUAUACUUAAACAACGGAUUAUUGGCCUUGGGUUAAGGCGAUAUCAACUACGUAUUCAAGGAUUAAAUAAGAUUACGUCCUAAAAGUGUUUGGCACCAAAAUAUAGCUUCCUUACGUGGACUUGGUGCACGUAAUAACAAAUUUAACGCAUAUUUAUAUUUCAAAGGGAAGUUAUAUAUCUGUUACUCAUUAAGCCAAGAAAAGUGACAAUUCCAUUUAAAAAACUAAGACGUUUGCUACGAAAAGAUUGAAGCCUUGAGUUACCAACCUAUAUGUCACUUGAGUUGAUGUUUAGUAAGAUGUCAGUAGUCUGUUUUGGUUCCGCAUCCCAUAACACGUUUAAUCACGUUACCUAGGAGACCAUCCAGACCUUAUCUGACACAGUUUUCCCGUGACUAGUACAUGAUACUCGUUGCUUAGAUACAUCAUCAGGUUACCUAGGCAACGAUAAAUGCAUGUUGCCUAGGUAACCACGUAUGUCAAUCAGGACUCUGUCCUGUAUCAUGUCCAAGAUUAACUAAUCAAACAACGACAAGUUUGGAUCCGUAAACCCAAAUGGUUUGUUUUAAAAACCAAAUAGAAUUAACGAAUAUGACAAUGUUGUGUCACGAAAAUUUGGAAGGGAGGAAGACUAUGGAUAACUUUUAAGUAUUAAUGUGAUAUUAAAUUUUUAAUUAUAAAUUAUUAAGUUAGGUAUUGAACAAUACAUUGAUAAGACUUAAGGAGUAGUUGCUCAAUCUCCCAGGCUCCUGACUCAAGUAAUAGAUUUUUGUGUGUGGAGAGUGGUCAUGUUUUACAUGGCAAAAACUAAAACAAACUAUUUCAUUCUUGUGGAAUAGCCGAAACACUUCAAUAUUAUAGUUUAAGAAUAUAUCAAAAACACUUAUCCUUUUUCUGCAGAGUUACGUGAACAAAUUCUAGUCUAGACUCUAGGCAGACAAAUGUAGCUAGGCAUUUAUUGGGAUUCCUGUGGAGCUGGCUCCACAGGCAGCCCAAAGAAAAUAUUAUGAUGUUUCUGAUGGUGUUUGGUAGUCUUACCUGUUCUUCAUUGAAUUCCAUUGGAUUGUGAUGCUUCCAUAAUAUUAGGCCAUGAAAUUUCUCUAUCUUGAAAGUGUUUGAAACUAAAAUAAAACAUUACAAUCAGCA